GCUCGCUCCGCAGCUGGCAGCUCCCAGGCGGGCCCAGGGGCGGCCCGCAGCGCCGCGCCAGGUAAAAGUGGGAAGACCUUUGGAAGACCUCAUUGGGAUGACCCCAGCAGGAACCACCCACCUGUCUCGAUGGCCACCCGUUGAGAGAUCCACUCGACUCUAUGAAAUCUUUGCAUAUUUAAGUCCCACUUCUCUGAGCAAGACUACUACUAUGUGUUUAAAGGUACAUCUUAAGGAUCCGGUGGCUAAUGUUCGAAGUAUUGGAGAUCGAUUUAACGCGUCUCGUCUGGACGCGAUGAAUCGAUCAGCUAAUCGACGCCCGUACUCCACCUUGGCAGGAGUAGUAAGCGGGGCUGACGGAGGAGCUGUGGCAGUCGACUUGCUGCCGUGAGGACGGCCGGGUAAGUCGAACUAAGAUACUUUGACUUCAGCUACGCAAAUAGCGUAGCUGAAGUUGCAUAUCUUAGUUCGAACCCCACAGCUAGUGUAGCCCAGGCCUAAGACUUAGCCUGCACAGAAGAUAUUUGCACCAUAGGUCUGUACACUCAGAAUGCAGUUUUGCAAGAUUUGCAUCUUAUAAUAUGAGAAGUGACAAAGAACAUGAUCUCCCCACAGUUAUUGCCAGCUUCCUUGUUAGCCUACAGUAACCUUGUCCAACUGCAAAACCAUAAAUGUAAGAAAUUAUUCUACAUUUUUGAAGUAAAACUGCUAUAAUUCUGUCUGAAAACCCAAUCAAGCUUCAACACAUUGUACAUGCAUAUUCUGAUCUUUGUGUUGAUGAAAUAAAUACUAUUUACUCUCAGAUCUCCAUGGUUGCCAUGAAUGGUAUAGUUGUAGUAAUAUCUGAAUGAAAGGCCUUCAUUACAAACAAAACAUACGGAAUAUAACUAUGUUCUUUUCAGCUCUGUGCGUUGUUCCUCUCACCUAAAAUUUCUAAUCCAAUAAUUUUCAGCCUUUCCUGUUGAACAUUUUUAGAGUGUACUGCUCUGGAUUAAGUCAUGCCUAUGUUACCUUUGACACAUUACAACACUAAAAACACUAAAAAUCAACGCAAUUUUUCACAUCACAGACUCUUAUGUGCGAUUUACAGUUAUGUAAUUGUAAUAUUACAAUCUCUAAAGAGGGAUCUGAUUCCCAAUUUCCCCUGGAAGUGUGCUGCUCUUACUCCCCAAAGACAUCUGAUAAAAUACAUUAAUUCAACUGACUGCAUAAAUUUCAGGGUUUUUUAAUUCAAUCUUUAAAUUACCAUAAACUGCCAGCAUCACCUUAGCGCUAAAUUGUUAAUAUGCUUGUUUUGAAGAACUUGCAGAUUAAUUUUUUUCUUAUUCCCUUAGGGGAAAUGAGAAAGAUCUCUUCAAUUACUAAAAGGUGGGCACUAAACUUCAAACACAUCAAAUUAUUUGCGAACUAGUGAAGUGACAACUCAAACAUGUUUCAUAUUUGAUGGUGUUUUUAGCCUGUAAGAAAUUUGGUUUACAGCAGUGAAAAAAUGUUUACCUUAUCCUCCUAGCAAACAAAUCGCAAGCAAGAAGGAAGAGAAACAAUUAAUCAGCAAAUUCUGUUCCUGCCAUAGCUGUCCAAACUAACAAUCAAAAAUUAUCUGCAAACUUAUCAUUGUCCAUCCCAUUGGUCACCUUUUUAUUUCCCUUGUACUACUACAGGUAUGAAAACAACACCUGCAUCUUGUUGUUAGGAGCAAUUUAUUCUAGAAUAUAUUUAUAUUUUUGUAAUAUUUAAAAUAUUCCAGUAACAGGUUUUGUUCCCUUUAUAACUAAUGAUGUUAAAAGUUAAGACAUGCACAGCCACAUGUAUCACAGACUUUCAAUAUAUUUAAAAAUACCUCUGUACAGUAGCAGGGGAAAAAGGUAAGACCCACACUCAGUUCCUGGUGGGUUUACCAAGCUCUGGAUGGCUCACUCCUCCAAUCCAAUUACCAUGUCUACUUGUUUGGUGUUAUCUGCAAAGUCCUAAUGUUUUUAGAUUAAAGAGCUAUUACUUUCAAGUUGCGUCCUGCUUUUGAAACUGUGAAAGAUCCUAAAUAGCUCAUCAUCAGAACUACAGUUUUACUCUCCUUGAAGAUAUGUACUUAGGGGACUUUGAUGGCACCUAUUGCUCUUGAUAUGAUAACAUGACAACUUAACCAUUCAGCUGGAAUAUGCACAACUAAUAAUUGUAAAUUAUCCUUUUGAUUCUUUAUUGCAACUUGGAAACAAAGAAAGGUGAUCAUUUAUGCCCAGACUUAGAUCUGGAGGAAACAUUUCCUGCUACCUCCUACUGAACUAUGAGCUGGAGGAAUAUAGGAGGAUUUCUGGGAACUGUGGUAAAUUUGCCAACUGACCUAAAUAUUCAUAAGGGGCUAGUGCCACUCAUGCUGAAUCACACCAACAAGCAGUUGACAGUGGUUUUUGCAUUGCUAGCAGAGUAACCAAUUUAAAUGAUGGGGGGUGCUCUGAGUUUUCUGCAACAGAAAUACUGCACAAUUCCAAUCAAUGCUCUUCUAUUAUUUUUGCUGCCAGCUUCUAAAUACGUCCAGGUUUCAACACUUUGUCUGAAUUAAGCACGCACUUAGCAGUUAAGGGAAAGAAAUAUUGUUGGCAGUUAAACCAAACUCUAAGUUACACUCUUUGUCAAUUUCUCACAUAAAUAAUCAUCUUCUGACUAUCUUGACCAAAGUCAAUAUAUCAGCCCUGGUCUAACUAACUAGAGAGAUUAAGGAAAACAGUUGGCUUGCAGGCCAGAAAUCGGUCUAGUUAACGGAAUCUCCCACUUUGGCGUAUUCUAAUUUUGUAUUCUUAUAAGAACCCCUGCUCACUCCUAGAAAGGUUUAAAGGACCAUGUGUAGAUUGGGGAGGGAAACUGGUUUGGCUCAUAUAAGAAAAUCAUCACAACACUCCCAGGUAAAAAGUAGUAGGCGUAAGGCUGCAAUUUAACUUUACUUCCCAGGA